AUUGAACGCUGGCGGCAGGCCUAACACAUGCAAGUCGAGCGAGCGGCGGAAGGGUGAGUAAUGUCUGGGAAACUGCCUGAUGGAGGGGGAUAACUACUGGAAACGGUAGCUAAUACCGCAUACCAUCAGAUGUGCCCAGAUGGGAUUAGCUAGUAGGUGGGGUAACGGCUCACCUAGGCGACGAUCCCUAGCUGGGCUGAGAGGAUGACCAGCAACACUGGAAUGGAGACACGGCCCAGACUCCGACGGGAGGCAGCAGUGGGGAAUAUUGCACAAUGGGCGCAAGCCUGAUGCAGCCAUGCCGCGUGUGUGAAGAAGGCCUUCGGGUUGUAAAGCACUUUCAGUUGGGAGGCGUUACCCGCAGAAGAAGCACCGGCUAACUCCGUGCCAGCAGCCGCGGUAAUUC
rnacentral:rRNA from 1 species